AAAGGGAGACCUAAUUCGGGUAGGAGACGAAAAAAAAGUAGUCCCUACCAAGAAUCAAUCCCAAAAGGUCGGAACGAGGUAUGUGGCUUUCAAACUAGGUUCUGGGUUCAUAAAAGACCUGAAUCAGGAACAAGGGCUAUUAGCUCAGGUGGUUAGAGCGCACCCCUGAUAAGGGUGAGGUCCCUGGUUCGAGUCCAGGAUGGCCCACCUGCACAGGUGGCAAAAACAAGAGAAACGAGGAAUCAGCACCUUAUCUUACUUAUAUAGUAAGAGAGAAUGCUGGCUCUGAGUAAAGAGUCCAGAGGAACCUUGAAAACUGCAUAGAGCUAGGUGAAAAAGCCAAAAAAGAAGACCGCAAG
rnacentral:tRNA from 1 species